UACGGAGGGUGCGAACGUUAAUCGGAAUCACUGGGCGUAAAGCGCGCGUAGGCGGUCUGUUAAGUGGGAUGUGAAAUCCCCGGGCUUAACCUGGGAAUUGCAUUUCAAACUGGCCGACUAGAGUACGGUAGAGGGAGGUAGAAUUUCCUGUGUAGCGGUGAAAUGCGCAGAUAUCAGGAGGAACACCGGUGGCGAAGGCGGGUCUCUGGGCCAAAACUGACGCUGAGGAGCGAAAGCGUGGGGAGCGAACAGG
rnacentral:rRNA from 1 species